rnacentral:rRNA from 1 species
ACCAGUACCGUGAGGGAAAGGUGAAAAGCACUUCGAACAGAAGAGUGAAAUAGUCCCUGAACCCAUACGCCUACAAGCUGUCGGAGCCGCUUCGUGCGGUGACGGCGUGCCUUUUGCAUAAUGAGCCUACGAGUUACUCAUCACCAGCGAGGUUAAGUACUUCAGGUACGUAAGCCGAAGCGAAAGCGAGUCUGAAUAGGGCGUCAAGUUGGUGGUGGUAGACGCGAAACCUUAGUGAUCUACCCAUGGGCAGGGUGAAGGUUUGGUAACACAAACUGGAGGCCCGAACCGGUAAACGUUGAAAAGUUUUCGGAUGACCUGUGGGUAGGGGUGAAAGGCCAAUCAAACUGGGAAAUAGCUCGUACUCUCCGAAAUGCAUUUAGGUGCAGCCUCUGUUGUUUUGUUCUAGAGGUAGAGCUACUGAUUGGAUGCGAGGGCUUCACCGCCUAUCAAAUCCGGCCAAACUCCGAAUGCUAGAACAUGAAGACAGGGAGUGAGCCAGCGGGUGCUAAGGUCCGUUGACGAAAGAGGGAGAACUCAGACCAUCAGCUAAGGUCCCCAAUUAUAUGCUAAGUUGGAAUUAAAACGGGGUGGGACUGCUUAGACAGCUAGGAUGUUGGCUUGGAAGCAGCCAUUCAUUUAAAGAGUGCGUAACAGCUCACUAGUCGAGCGGUCCUGCAUGGAUAAUACGCGGGCAUAAGCAUAUAACCGAAGCUAUGGGAUUGUAGAUGAUACAAUCGGUAGGAGAGCAUUCCAUUCAGCGUAGAAGCAGUAUCGUGAGGUAUUGUGGAGCGGAUGGAAAAGCAAAUGUAGGCAUAAGUAACGAUAAUGCGGGUGAGAACCCCGCACGCCGAAAGAUCAAGGAUUCCCCGGCAAUGUCAAUCAUCCGGGGGUAAGUCGGAUCCUAAGGGUAAGCCGAGUGGCGAUCCCGAUGGCAAACAGGUUAAUAUUCCUGUACUGAUCAUAACUGCGAUGCAGCGACGCAGAGGUGACACUGCUGCGUACUGACGGAAUAGUACGUUGAAACCCGUAUUCUUUGAUACCGGUAGUGAAGCACGCCGGUAGAGAUGAAAGGUGAUAGUACCGCAAUGCUUCGGUUGCGCGGAUAACGCAGGUAAGCUGACUGCCAAGAAAACCUGCUAAGCUUCAGGUAAUGAUCAUCCGUACUGUAAACGGACACACGUGAUCAGGUAGAAAAUACUAAGGCGCUCGAGAGAUUCAUGGUUAAGGAACUAGGCAAAAUGGUCCUGUAACUUCGGGAUAAAGGACGCUCUUGUGAAAGAGCCGCAGAUAAUAGGCCCAGGCGACUGUUUACCAAAAACACAUGGCUAUGCUAAUUCGCAAGAAGAUGUAUAUGGCCUGACACCUGCCCGGUGCCGGAAGGUUAAGAGGAGAGCUCAGAGGCAACUCGAAGGUUUGAAUUGAAGCCCCGGUAAACGGCGGCCGUAACUAUAACGGUCCUAAGGUAGCGAAAUUCCUUGUCGGGUAAGUUCCGACCUGCACGAAUGGUGUAACGAUCUGGGUACUGUCUCAACCAUGAGCUCGGUGAAAUUGUAGUUCCGGUGAAGAUGCCGGAUACCCGCAACGGGACGGAAAGACCCCGUGAACCUUUACUGCAGCUUUGCAUUGAUUUUGGGUAACAGAUGUGUAGGAUAGGUCGGAGGCUUUGAUGCUGCGUCGUCAGGCGUAGAGUAGCCGUCGUUGAAAUACGACCCUUUUGUUAUCUGAGGUCUAAUCCCGUUAGGGAGACAUUGCAUGGUGGGUAGUUUGACUGGGGUGGUCGCCUCCAAAAGUGUAACGGAGGCUUCUCAAGGUACCCUCAAGGCGUUUGGUAAUCGUCUGCAGAGUGCAAUGGCAUAAGGGUGCUUGACUGUGAGACCGACACGUCGAUCAGGUUGGAAACAAGAGCAUAGUGAUCCGGUGGUUCCGCAUGGAAGGGCCAUCGCUCAAAGGAUAAAAGGUACUCCGGGGAUAACAGGCUGAUCCCUCCCAAGA